CCUACGGGAGGCAGCAGUGGGGAAUAUUGGACAAUGGGGGCAACCCUGAUCCAGCCAUGCCGCGUGUGUGAAGAAGGCCCUCGGGUUGUAAAGCACUUUCAGUGAGGAAGAACGCCUGGUGGUUAAUACCCAUCAGGAAAGACAUCACUCACAGAAGAAGCACCGGCUAACUCCGUGCCAGCAGCCGCGGUAAUACGGAGGGUGCGAGCGUUAAUCGGAAUUACUGGGCGUAAAGCGCGCGUAGGUGGCUUGAUAAGCCGGUUGUGAAAGCCCCGGGCUCAACCUGGGAACGGCAUCCGGAACUGUCAAGCUAGAGUGCAGGAGAGGAAGGUAGAAUUCCCGGUGUAGCGGUGAAAUGCGUAGAGAUCGGGAGGAAUACCAGUGGCGAAGGCGGCCUUCUGGACUGACACUGACACUGAGGUGCGAAAGCGUGGGUAGCAAACAGGAUUUGAUACCCGAGUAGUC
rnacentral:rRNA from 1 species